rnacentral:tRNA from 1 species
GGGAAGGUGGCUCAGUGGUAGAGUGCUUGCUUUGCAUGCAUGAGGCCUUGGGUUCGAUUCCUCAGCACCCCA